GCUCGAGCAGGUGCGAAAGCAGGUCUUAGUGAUCCGGUGGUUCUGAAUGGAAGGGCCAUCGCUCAACGGAUAAAAGGUACUCCGGGGAUAACAGGCUGAUACCGCCCAAGAGUUCAUAUCGACGGCGGUGUUUGGCACCUCGAUGUCGGCUCAUCACAUCCUGGGGCUGAAGUAGGUCCCAAGGGUAUGGCUGUUCGCCAUUUAAAGUGGUACGCGAGCUGGGUUUAGAACGUCGUGAGACAGUUCGGUCCCUAUCUGCCGUGGGCGCUGGAGAAUUGAGGGGGGCUGCUCCUAGUACGAGAGGACCGGAGUGGACGCAUCACUGGUGUUCGGGUUGUCAUGCCAAUGGCACUGCCCGGUAGCUAAAUGCGGAAAAGAUAAGUGCUGAAAGCAUCUAAGCACGAAACUUGCCCCGAGAUGAGUUCUCCCUGAGACU
rnacentral:rRNA from 1 species